rnacentral:rRNA from 1 species
CUAAUACAUGCAAGUCGAGCGCGACUGAUUACACCGUUCCUUUUGGACACCGUAAUCAUCGAGCGGCGGACGGGUGAGUAACACGUGGGCAACCUACCCUUAAGACUGGGAUAACCGCGGGAAACCGUGGCUAAUACCGGAUAAUACUUUUAUACAUCAGUAUAGGAGUUGAAAGGUGGAUUUCUAUCACUUAAGGAUGGGCCUGCGGCGCAUUAGCUCGUUGGUAAGGUAAUGGCUUACCAAGGCGACGAUGCGUAGCCGACCUGAGAGGGUGAUCGGCCACACUGGAACUGAGACACGGUCCAGACUCCUACGGGAGGCAGCAGUAGGGAAUCUUCCGCAAUGGGCGAAAGCCUGACGGAGCAACGCCGCGUGUGCGAAGAAGGUCUUCGGAUCGUAAAGCACUGUUGUUAAGGAAGAACGACAGUAAGAGUAACUGCUUACUGUGUGACGGUACUUAACCAGAAAGCCACGGCUAACUACGUGCCAGCAGCCGCGGUAAUACGUAGGUGGCAAGCGUUAUCCGGAAUUAUUGGGCGUAAAGCGCGCGUAGGCGGCGAGAUUAGUCUGAUGUGAAAGCCCCCGGCUCAACCGGGGAAGGUCAUUGGAAACUGUUUCGCUUGAGUGCAAAAGAGGAGAGUGGAAUUCCAUGUGUAGCGGUGAAAUGCGCAGAGAUAUGGAGGAACACCAGUGGCGAAGGCGGC